rnacentral:rRNA from 1 species
GAUGAACGCUGGCGGCGUGCCUAAUACAUGCAAGUCGAGCGAAUGGAUUAAGAGCUUGCUCUUAUGGAGUUAGCGGCGGACGGGUGAGUAACACGUGGGUAACCUGCCCAUAAGACUGGGAUAACUCCGGGAAAUCGGGGCUAAUACCGGAUAACAUUUUGAACCGCAUGGUUCGAAAUUGAAAGGCGGCUUCGGCUGUCACUUAUGGAUGGACCCGCGUCGCAUUAGCUAGUUGGUGAGGUAACGGCUCACCAAGGCAACGAUGCGUAGCCGACCGGAGAGGGUGAUCGGCCACACGGGGACUGAGACACGGCCCAGACUCCUACGGGAGGCAGCAGUAGGGAAUCUUCCGCAAUGGACGAAAGUCUGGCGGAGCAACGCCGCGUGAGUGAUGAAGGCUUUCGGGUCGUGAAACUCUGUUGUUAGGGAAGAACAAGUGCUAGUUGAAUAAGCUGGCACCUUGACGGUACCUAACCAGAAAGCCACGGCUAACUACGUGCCAGCAGCCGCAGUAA